rnacentral:lncRNA from 1 species
CCCGGGCAGAGGAGGCUGCCUUCACCGAGUCAUCCCCUUCUUUCUCAGUCUUGCCUAGCACCUCGAGAAGGAAGAAACCACCUUCACCCUGAGUCUCAAGGUGAAGCUUCCACCAUUCCGGCACCCAGGAGCAGGCAGAGCCCCAGACUCUGGAAGGAGCUCUGCCACCCCGGGCUUUCCAGAAGACCUUUGGAGAUGAUCUCGCCCGCAUCAUCUUUCCCGUCUCAGGUGCCCUCAUCUCGGAGACGCUGUGGAGAGUACAGAGCAACCCAGUGUUCCCACAGCCUGUGGAAGAGGUUUCACAUCAAGGAAGCAGGCAGCAGGACCCCCAGCAUGCCGCGCCUGGCCGAGCAGCCAGGGGAACCCCAAGCCCACACCUCACGCUCCAAUGGCAACAACAAACGCAACUCCCGGAGGAACCAGCACAAAGCUCAGCAUCUGGGCUCCUCAGCCAAGCUCCGGAAGUGACUGUGAACACGUGCUCCCCCGAGACCCCAGGGCCUGCCCUCCUGCCUGCAACUGUGCCCCUAACAACAGAAACAAAACCCGUACAAGCCGCCGAUUAGCCUAGUCCCACAGAGGGCAUAUGAUUCUUCAGUUGGGUAGCAAAACUUCAUCCAUCCCAAGAGUUUCCAGCAAGCCAAGGAAGAUUAUGUACACCAGGGAGAACCACUUGGUAUAGCCAAACACAUGCCCAGACAUCAAAGCAGCCCAGACUGCAGAUUGGUGCAAGUGGUGUGAACAGUGCCGGGCUCACAGAGAGAAGUCAACAAAUGUCUGCUGGAAGAAUAAGAGAAUGAAUGAACAAUGUUGUUCCUCUUGGAUUUCCCAGCUGGCUGGACUCCUGGGCAGGUCUUUGAAUUCGCCCUGCAGACCCCGUUGUGUUGCUUCCCUUGGCUCUUCAGAACAAAAGAGUAUACAAAAGUGCUUAUCCUUUUUGAUAGAAAUGGGUUGGAACAGUAUGGUUUUCACUUUGACUGGGAGGCCUAGAAUGGUUUGCAAUCGAUUGUUUGUUUCACUAAUGGAG